GCAAACUUGGUCAUUUAGAGGAAGUAAAAGUCGUAACAAGGUUUCCGUAGGUGAACCUGCGGAAGGAUCAUCACAGAGUGGUCUGGUGUGGUGGUGGAGACACACACCAAUCUUGUGUGAACUGUUGUUCUGUGUGUGUGUGUUGGUGUGUGAUGUGCUAGGCACUCCCACCAGCAUCACAAAUCUCUCACCUCUUCAACCUUUGUGUCUAACAUAUGUACCACCCACAAUCUAAAACAACUUUUAACAAUGGAUCUCUUGGCUCUCGCAUCGAUGAAGAACGCAGC
rnacentral:misc_RNA from 1 species